rnacentral:rRNA from 1 species
ACAUCGGUGACAGGUGGUGCAUGGUUGUCGUCAGCUCGUGUCGUGAGAUGUUGGGUUAAGUCCCGCAACGAGCGCAACCCCUAUUGUUAGUUGCCAUCAUUCAGUUGGGCACUCUAGCGAGACUGCCGGUAAUAACCGGAGGAAGGUGGGAUGACGUCAAAUCAUCAUGCCCCUUAUGACCUGGGCUACACACGUGCUACAAUGGUUGGUACAACGAGUUGCGAGUCGGUGACGGCGAGCUAAUCUCUUAAAGCCAAUCUCAGUUCGGAUUGUAGGCUGCAACUCGCCUACAUGAAGUCGGAAUCGCUAGUAAUCGCGGAUCAGCACGCCGCGGUGAAUACGUUCCCGGGCCUU